rnacentral:rRNA from 1 species
AGUGAACGCUGGCGGUAGGCCUAACACAUGCGAGUCGAACGGCAGCACAGUAAGAGCUUGCUCUUACGGGUGGCGAGUGGCGGACGGGUGGGGAAUACAUCGGAAUCUACUUUUUCGGGGGGGAUAACGUAGGGAAACUUACGCUAAUACCGCAUACGCCCUACGGGUGAAAGCGGGGGAUCUUCGGACCUUGCGCGAUUGAAUGAGCCGAUGUCGGAUUAGCUAGUUGGCGGGGUAAAGGCCCACCAAGGCGACGAUCCGUAGCUGGUCUGAGAGGAUGAUCAGCCACACUGGAACUGAGACACGGUCCAGACUCCUACGGGAGGCAGCAGUGGGGAAUAUUGGACAAUGGGCGCAAGCCUGAUCCAGCCAUACCGCGUGGGUGAAGAAGGCCUUCGGGUUGUAAAGCCCUUUUGUUGGGAAAGAAAAGCAGCAGGUUAAUACCCCGCUGUUCUGACGGUACCCAAAGAAUAAGCACCGGCUAACUUCGUG